CGAACAAUUAAAAACAAGUUCUUCGACUGAGUCACUGGAAAACAAGAACAGAUUAGGAAAUAUUUUGAGACACUGAAUUAAUAAGGGUGUCAAUAAGAUAUAUUUAGCUCAAUUCGAUAUAUAUUGCACAACGAAAGGAGCAUUUUAACCACCAGGACAUACCAGCUGGCUCACAGAGAGAUACUGGCUGCCGCACGUUAGCCAAAGUAAGGAGACCGCAGACAGGUGAGAUUAGAGCGUUAGUUUGUAUUUAUCAUUUUAUUGAUUAAUGACCCAAAUAACGAUUAGAUUAACUUUUCAAUUCUUAUAACCUGUAGCCAAUACAAUUCUCACACACACACCCUGACUGUUCCUCAACAUUAAAAAGUAAAAUCCAGGUUAAAUUUGGAUAGAAAUAACACUCCUAUAACACCGGGCAGUAAUGGUCGGGUGAAACUCGCAUUGAUUGUACAUUGUUAUUAUUAUUAUUAUUAUUUAUAAUGUACAUCUUUGCUCAAUUGUUGUCAUAGCAUGAAGGCUUGAGCUAUAAGAAGGAAGGUGGCCAGCUGGCAAAUAUAUAGGGAAUAGUUUACAAAUAGUGUGCACUCAAGACUGAAUUAGGGAGCAGACUAGCCACCUCCAGGAGUGUGCGUAUCGAGUGAUCAUCUUUUUAGCUAAAAAUAAAGAAUUGAUUGUUGUUGAGAUGUUUGUGCUGCGGUAACGAAACGUAAUACAGAGACAUCAUUUUUAUUGAAUAAUGGCUCAGUGCAAGAGUAGCUAAAAAACGAAUUCUGCAUAAUUCUCGUUAGUGAUCACAGUUAUUUAACCCCUUAAGGACCAAACUUCUGGAAUAAAAGGGAAUAAUGACAUGUCACACGUCAUGUGUUCGUAAGGGGUUAAUGGUGGAGUUUACUCUGUAUUUAUUCUGUUACUGGGAGUGCUGAGUGAAAGGGUUAAUCUGUAUUCAUUCUGUUACUGGGAGUGCUGAGUGAAAGGGUUAAUCUGUAUUCAUUCUUUUACUGGGAGUGCUGAGUGAAAGGGUUAAUCUGUAUUCAUUCUGUUACUGGGAGUGCUGAGUGAAAGGGUUAAUCUGUAUUCUUUCUGUUACUGGGAGUGCUGAGUGAAAAGGGUUAAUCUGUAUUCAUUCUGUUACUGGGAGUGCUGAGUGAAAGGGUUAAUCUGUAUUCAUUCUGUUACUGGGAGUGUUGAGUGAAAGGGUUAAUCUGUAUUCUUUCUGUUACUGGGAGUGCUGAGUGAAAAGGGUUAAUCUGUAUUCAUUCUGUUACUGGGAGUGCUGAGUGAAAGGGUUAAUCUGUAUUCAUUCUGUUACUGGGAGUGCUGAGUGAAAGGGUUAAUCUGUAUUCAUUCUGUUACUGGGAGUGCUGAGUGAACGGGUUAAUCUGUAUUCUUUCUGUUACUGGGAGUGCUGAGUGAAAAGGGUUAAUCUGUAUUCAUUCUGUUACUGGGAGUGCUGAGUGAAAGGGUUAAUCUGUAUUCAUUCUGUUACUGGGAGUGCUGAGUGAAAGGGUUAAUCUGUAUUUAUUCUGUUACUGGGAGUGCUGAGUGAAAGGGUUAAUCUGUAUUCAUUCUGUUACUGGGAGUGCUGAGUGAAAGGGUUAAUCUGUAUUCAUUCUGUUACUGGGAGUGCUGAGUGAAAGGGUUAAUCUGUAUCCUCUCUGUUACUGGGAGUGCUGAGUGAAAGGGUUAAUCUGUAUUUAUUCUGUUACUUGGAGUGCUGAGUGAAAGGAUUAAUCUGUAUUCAUUCUGUUACUAGGAGUUACUGAGUGCUGAGUAUAAGGGUUAAUCUGUAUUCAUUCUGUAACUAGGAGUGCUGAAUGAAAGGGUUAAUCUGUAUCCUCUCUGUUAUUGAGAGCGCAGAGUGAAAAGGUUAAUCUGUAGAGUCUCACUGCUCAAUUCUCUGCCAUUUAAAUCACUUUGUUUCUGCAAUCCUAGUUACACCUCUCUGCAUGUAACUCACAAAGUCUUCCUAAACAAUUCCUGUAUAGAGAGAUCUAAGAUUUACACUUCCUAGCUUGCACAUUCUGUUUAGUUUAUCAUUUCUUAUCUCCUGCUCUGUUAAUAGCCUUCUAGAUCCUACAGAAGCCUUCUUCUCUAUGUGAAUAAAGUUCAAAUUACAGAGCAGGAGAUACAAAGUUAAGUAAGAUUGGAAAUGAAACAAUGUUUCAUGCAGGUUGUGUCAGUCACAGCCAGGGGAGGUGAGGUUAGGGCUGUAUGAACAGAAAUAAAAGUGAUAUAAAUCCUAAAUGGCUAAAAAUUGAGCAGUGACACUACAAAUGCAUGACCUAUAUACCAAAACUGCCUCAUUAAGUGAGAGUUGUUUUGGUGACAAUAGUGUCCCUUUAUUAAAAAAUGCAGCCUUGCUUCCUGUGAGUGAAUAGUUUGUGCCUAUUGAUUAUUUUGAUUAUUUUGAUGUGGGAAUAGAUGGUGUAGACACCACAGCGGCCAUAUUGAUAAAUGAGAAAGAAACAUCUGGUUAAAUUACGAUACUUACUCUCACGUGUUAGAUUUUCCAAAUUGUCCAAACUGCACUUACACUCUGAUUUAAUAUUAAAUAAUAUGGGAUUUCAUGAUUUACUAUAAUGUUGACAUAUUCACCAUAUAAAUCUAUAUUUUGAAUAUAUAGCCAUUUAUCUGUUCAGAUCUGGGAAUUGGACUUUUGUCAAAUUAAUGUUUAUAUACUAAAGUGUUAUUUCUGCCCAACGCAUUUCAUACAAUUCUGGAACGUCUUAUGUUAGAAAUAUUUUGUAGGAGGUUUAAUCUAAUCAAGACGUUCCUCACUGUGAAAUCAAUCCAAUAUCAGUAUCAUGUAACAUUGUUCUUUGAUUUCUGCAGGUGAAUAUAUUUUUCUUAAAUCGAGAAGCAGAACGAGCCAUGGCUAAGGUUAUAAGGAAAGAUGGCGGCUCUGUAAAUAUACGCGGAAACAUGCCGGAAUCUUUAUCUGAUGAGACAAUCACAGUGGAUGUUACAGAAAUCCUGCCACCACCUUCACCAAUAUAUUUAUAUUACUUGGAAACCAAUCAUUUACCAUUUGAUGGACAAACCAAUAGAAAAACUUUUAUUCCCUCCAAUAUCAUGUGUAUGGCUUGCUACUUACCUGGAAAUGGGGACAAAGAAUGGUGUAAAAAGAAUUGUUACCACUGAGUAACAUAAAUACAAUAAGCACUUUGUUUUUAAAAGAAACUGUUACAUAAAAAUAUCCUCUAAUAAAAUCCUUCAUUAAAACCUAUUUUCUGUCUAUUGAUGUUAACUCUGCCAGAAGAUAUUCUGCUUCCACAGAAGGUCUAAUAUGGUUUGUGAUGUGCCACGUUAUUUCUGUAGCCUGUGUAGCCAAAAAUCCUGGCGCCUGCCCUGUGUCUACGUUCUCAUGUUACUUCUAUUACAUGUCUUUACUGCUUUUAAAUUUACUGUUUAUUCCCUAUAACGUUGCCUCCAGAUUUCUCUGAAUGUUUGCCCUGAACUGAGUUGUCACAGAAUGUGGUUCUUUAUAAAAACUGUAUGUAAUGGAUCACCUGGCACACAGACUUGGUACCUCCGUUGAAGGAUGCUCCUAGCGCUUCCUGAGGGUUUCCAGCACUCAAGCAGACACCAUAACCGUAUGGGGAGCAGUGUGUGUAUGGGGGGGCAGUGUGUGUAAAGGGGGGCAGUGUGUGUAUGGGGACACUGUUUGUGGGGCAGUGUGUGUAUGGGGGGCAGUGUGUGUAUGGGACAGUGUUUGUGGGGCAGUGUGUGUAUGGGGACAGUGUUUGUAGGCAGUGUGUGUGUAUGGGGGGCUGUGUUUGGGGGCAGUGUGUGUAUGGGGGGGCAGUGUGUGUAAAGGGGGGCAGUGUGUGUAUGGGGACACUGUUUGUGGGGCAGUGUGUAUAUGGGGGGCAGUGUGUGUAUGGGGACAGUGUUUGUGGGGCAGUGUGUGUAUGGGGACAGUGUUUGUAGGCAGUGUGUGUGUAUGGGGGGCUGUGUGUGUGUAUGGGGGGGGCAGUGUGUGUGUAAUGAGGGGGGAAGGAGGCUUUUUAAUAAUACAUUUUUUUUUAUUUAAUAAAAUAAAUAUUCUAUGUCCCCCCUCCCUUCUUACCUUUAUUUAGGAGGAGGGGGACAUUUCCCUGGUGGGGGAUUCAUUGGUGGUCCAGUGGUGAGAGUGAACUCUAGCCCGCGCCCCCGGGCUAGAGUUCACUCGCGAGAUUUGGAGCGUUGCCAUGGUAACCGCGGCAAAGCUCCAAAUCUCGAGAGAGGAGGACCCGGAGGAGCUGCAGACUGAGCUCCCAGGUCCUCUCUCUCACUCCCUCCCUCCUAAGCUGUAGUGGUUAUUGUGUCUGGAUUAUUUAUUUAAAUAAUCUACAAGUGCACCUCCCGAGAUCAGGCUCUGGAUCCGCCACUGUCUCAGUCUGGCCCUGGUACUUUCCGAACAAUUAAAAACAAGUUCUUCGACUGAGUCACUGGAAAACAAGAACAGAUUAGGAAAUAUUUUGAGACACUGUAUUAAUAAGGGUGUCAAUAAGAUAUUUUUAGCUCAAUUCGAUAUAUAUUGCACAACGAAAGGAGCAUUUUAACCACCAGGACAUACCAGCUGGCUCACAGAGAGAUACUGGCUGCCGCACGUUAGCCAAAGUAAGGAGACAGCAGACAGGUGAGAUUAGAACGUUAGUUUGUAUUUAUCAUUUUAUUGAUUAAUGACUCAAAUAACGAUUAGAUUAACUUUUCAAUUCUUAUAACCUGUAGCCAAUACAAUUCUCACACACACACCCUGACUGUUCCUCAACAUUAAAAAGUAAAAUCCAGGUUAAAUUUGGAUAGAAAUAACACUCCUAUAACACCUGGCAGUAAUGGUCGGGUGAAACUCGCAUUGAUUGUACAUUGUUAUUAUUAUUAUUAUUUAUAAUGUACAUCUUUGCUCAAUUGUUGUCAUAGCAUGAAGGCUUGAGCUAUAAGAAGGAAAGUGGCCAGCUGGCAAAUAUAUAGGGAAUAGUUUACAAAUAGUGUGUACUCUAGACUGAAUUAGGGAGCAGACUAGCCACCUCCAGGAGUGUGUGUAUCGAGUGAUCAUCUUUUUAGCACAAAGACUCUGGCUACACAAAGAAAGCUGGCUGGCUGGCAAAUAGAUAAGGAAUAGCUAACUAUCGGUGUUCAUUUCAGACCUAAUCAGGGAGCAGCUUAGCCACAUCCUGACUGUGUAUAGUUAUUGUGGAUUAUUAUCUAAACAUUUAUAUUUUUAAUAAAUAGGGAAGAGUGGAACUGGAAGUGUCUUAAAGACCAAUCAGGGGCCAGCACAGCCACCCCACACAUUGUUCACUGACAGAAUGGAUUUUUGUUGGUUUAGAUUUUACCACCAAACUUGAUUUCUCUUGAGGUGUAAGGGAGAUCUCUAAUAAUAACUCCAGUUAGUGUAAACGAAGCUAUUGAUGGAAGCUUUUUUAGGACUUGCAAGGAUUCUAUGUUCUGCAGGUUGAAUUUCUUUCUAUAUGCAGUAUGUAUAUAUUGAGAUUGUUGACACUUCCAGGGAAUACAAAUUGUAAUUGUUGCCAUAAGCAGAUUGGACGGAAUUGUUAAUAUCUGUUUCGUUGCAGCUAAAAUAUAUGUUGCAAAUGGUGUUUCCACUAUUGCAACACUGAACGAGAACUCAUUCACGAGAAGUUACGUUUUAUUUCCCCACAGUUAAAUAAUCUAUCUAACGGGAGAGUUAACACCCCUCUUUUGUGGACCACGAAACCACAACUGGUUAGGGAAACGGAAGGGGUUGGGUUUCUUAUUGCUAAAAAUAAAGAAUUGAUUGUUGUUGAGAUGUUUGUGCUGCGAUAACGAAACGUAAUACAGAGACAUCAUUUUUACUGAAUUAUGGCUCAGUGCAAGAGUAGCUAAAAAACUAAUUCUGCAUAAUUCUAGUUAGUGAUCACAGUUAUUUAACCCCUUAAGGACCAAACUUCUGGAAUAAAAGGGAAUAAUGACAUGUCACACGUCAUGUGUUCGUAAGGGGUUAAUGGUGGAGUUUACUCUGUAUUUAUUCGGUUACUGGGAGUGCUGAGUAUAAGGGUUAAUCUGUAUUCAUUCUGUAACUAGGAGUGCUGAAUGAAAGGGUUAAUCUGUAUCCUCUCUGUUAUUGAGAGCGCAGAGUGAAAAGGUUAAUCUGUAGAGUCUCACUGCUCAAUUCUCUGCCAUUUAAAUCACUUUGUUUCUGCAAUCCUAGUUACACCUCUCUGCAUGUAACUCACAAAGUCUUCCUAAACAAUUCCUGUAUAGAGAGAUCUAAGAUUUACACUUCCUAGCUUGCACAUUCUGUUUAGUUUAUCAUUUCUUAUCUCCUGCUCUGUUAAUAGCCUUCUAGAUCCUACAGAAGCCUUCUUCUCUAUGUGAAUAAAGUUCAAAUUACAGAGCAGGAGAUACAAAGUUAAGUAAGAUUGGAAAUGAAACAAUGUUUCAUGCAGGUUGUGUCAGUCACAGCCAGGGGAGGUGAGGUUAGGGCUGUAUGAACAGAAAUAAAAGUGAUAUAAAUCCUAAAUGGCUAAAAAUUGAGCAGUGACACUACAAAUGCAUGACCUAUAUACCAAAACUGCCUCAUUAAGUGAGAGUUGUUUUGGUGACAAUAGUGUCCCUUUAUUAAAAAAUGCAGCCUUGCUUCCUGUGAGUGAAUAGUUUGUGCCUAUUGAUUAUUUUGAUUAUUUUGAUGUGGGAAUAGAUGGUGUAGACACCACAGCGGCCAUAUUGAUAAAUGAGAAAGAAACAUCUGGUUAAAUUACGAUACUUACUCUCACGUGUUAGAUUUUCCAAAUUGUCCAAACUGCACUUACACUCUGAUUUAAUAUUAAAUAAUAUGGGAUUUCAUGAUUUACUAUAAUGUUGACAUAUUCACCAUAUAAAUCUAUAUUUUGAAUAUAUAGCCAUUUAUCUGUUCAGAUCUGGGAAUUGGACUUUUGUCAAAUUAAUGUUUAUAUACUAAAGUGUUAUUUCUGCCCAACGCAUUUCAUACAAUUCUGGAACGUCUUAUGUUAGAAAUAUUUUGUAGGAGGUUUAAUCUAAUCAAGACGUUCCUCACUGUGAAAUCAAUCCAAUAUCAGUAUCAUGUAACAUUGUUCUUUGAUUUCUGCAGGUGAAUAUAUUUUUCUUAAAUCGAGAAGCAGAACGAGCCAUGGCUAAGGUUACAAGGAAAGAUGGCGGCUCUGUAAAUAUACGCGGAAACAUGCCGGAAUCUUUAUCUGAUGAGACAAUCACAGUGGAUGUUACAGAAAUCCUGCCACCACCUUCACCAAUAUAUUUAUAUUACUUGGAAACCAAUCAUUUACCAUUUGAUGGACAAACCAAUAGAAAAACUUUUAUUCCCUCCAAUAUCAUGUGUAUGGCUUGCUACUUACCUGGAAAUAGGGACAAAGAAUGGUGUAAAGAGAAUUGUUACCACUGAGUAACAUAAAUACAAUAAGCACUUUGUUUUUAAAAGAAACUGUUACAUAAAAAUAUCCUCUAAUAAAAUCCUUCAUUAAAACCUAUUUUCUGUCUAUUGAUGUUAACUCUGCCAGAAGAUAUUCUGCUUCCACAGAAGGUCUAAUAUGGUUUGUGAUGUGCCACGUUCUUUCUGUAGCCUGUGUAGCCAAAAAUCCUGGCGCCUGCCCUGUGUCUAUGUUCUCAUGUUACUUCUAUUACAUGUCUUUACUGCUUUUAAAUUUUGUGACUAAGGAUAAUUUAAUCCCCUUUUCAUUUCAAAUUAAGAUUAUGCACAAAUAUAAUUAUUUAAAGGGUUUCACUGAAUUUAUUCAGAAUUAUGUGACGGCAUUUAUCGGCCUGUCCCCAUGAUAUGACUUUAAGAUUAGACCCUGUAUAAUGUGUUAGCUAUAUUCAUUUACCAAUACAUUGUGUGACGCGGUAGAUGACCGCCAAUUUAGAGAGUAAAUUUAGUGUUUAUUCCCUAUAACGUUGCCUCCAGAUUUCUCUGAAUGUUUGCCCUGAACUGAGUUGUCACAGAAUGUGGUUCUUUAUAAAAACUGUAUGUAAUGGAUCACCUGGCACACAGACUUGGUACCUCCGUUGAAGGAUGCUCCUAGCGCUUCCUGAGGGUUUCCAGCACUCAAGCAGACACCAUAACCGUAUGGGGAGCAGUGUGUGUAUGGGGGGGCAGUGUGUGUAAAGGGGGGCAGUGUGUGUAUGGGGACACUGUUUGUGGGGCAGUGUGUGUAUGUGUGGGGCAGUGUGUGUAUGGGGACAGUGUUUGUAGGCAGUGUGUGUGUAUGGGGGGCUGUGUUUGGGGGCAGUGUGUGUAUGGGGGGGCAGUGUGUGUAAAGGGGGGCAGUGUGUGUAUGGGGACACUGUUUGUGGGGCAGUGUGUAUAUGGGGGGCAGUGUGUGUAUGGGGACAGUGUUUGUGGGGCAGUGUGUGUAUGGGGACAGUGUUUGUAGGCAGUGUGUGUGUAUGGGGGGCUGUGUGUGUGUAUGGGGGGGCAGUGUGUGUGUAAUGAGGGGGGAAGGAGGCUUUUUAAUAAUACAUUUUUUUUUAUUUAAUAAAAUAAAUAUUCUAUGUCCCCCCUCCCUUCUUACCUUUAUUUAGGAGGAGGGGGACAUUUCCCUGGUGGGGGAUUCAUUGGUGGUCCAGUGGUGAGAGUGAACUCUAGCCCGCGCCCCCGGGCUAGAGUUCACUCGCGAGAUUUGGAGCGUUGCCGUGGUAACCGCGGCAAAGCUCCAAAUCUCGAGAGAGGAGGACCCGGAGGAGCUGCAGACUGAGCUCCCAGGUCCUCUCUCUCACUCCCUCCCUCCUAAGCUGUAGUGGUUAUUGUGUCUGGAUUAUUUAUUUAAAUAAUCUACAAGUGCACCUCCCGAGAUCAGGCUCUGGAUCCGCCACUGUCUCAGUCUGGCCCUGGUACUUUCCGAACAAUUAAAAACAAGUUCUUCGACUGAGUCACUGGAAAACAAGAACAGAUUAGGAAAUAUUUUGAGACACUGAAUUAAUAAGGGUGUCAAUAAGAUAUUUUUAGCUCAAUUCGAUAUAUAUUGCACAACGAAAGGAGCAUUUUAACCACCAGGACAUACCAGCUGGCUCACAGAGAGAUACUGGCUGCCGCACGUUAGCCAAAGUAAGGAGACAGCAGACAGGUGAGAUUAGAACGUUAGUUUGUAGUUAUCAUUUUAUUGAUUAAUGACUCAAAUAACGAUUAGAUUAACUUUUCAAUUCUUAUAACCUGUAGCCAAUACAAUUCUCACACACACACCCUGACUGUUCCUCAACAUUAAAAAGUAAAAUCCAGGUUAAAUUUGGAUAGAAAUAACACUCCUAUAACACCUGGCAGUAAUGGUCGGGUGAAACUCGCAUUGAUUGUACAUUGUUAUUAUUAUUAUUAUUUAUAAUGUACAUCUUUGCUCAAUUGUUGUCAUAGCAUGAAGGCUUGAGCUAUAAGAAGGAAAGUGGCCAGCUGGCAAAUAUAUAGGGAAUAGUUUACAAAUAGUGUGUACUCUAGACUGAAUUAGGGAGCAGACUAGCCACCUCCAGGAGUGUGUGUAUCGAGUGAUCAUCUUUUUAGCACAAAGACUCUGGCUACACAAAGAAAGCUGGCUGGCUGGCAAAUAGAUAAGGAAUAGCUAACUAUCGGUGUUCAUUUCAGACCUAAUCAGGGAGCAGCUUAGCCACAUCCUGACUGUGUAUAGUUAUUGUGGAUUAUUAUCUAAACAUUUAUAUUUUUAAUAAAUAGGGAAGAGUGGAACUGGAAGUGUCUUAAAGACCAAUCAGGGGCCAGCACAGCCACCCCACACAUUGUUCACUGACAGAAUGGAUUUUUGUUGGUUUAGAUUUUACCACCAAACUUGAUUUCUCUUGAGGUGUAAGGGAGAUCUCUAAUAAUAACUCCAGUUAGUGUAAACGAAGCUAUUGAUGGAAGCUUUUUUAGGACUUGCAAGGAUUCUAUGUUCUGCAGGUUGAAUUUCUUUCUAUAUGCAGUAUGUAUAUAUUGAGAUUGUUGACACUUCCAGGGAAUACAAAUUGUAAUUGUUGCCAUAAGCAGAUUGGACGGAAUUGUUAAUAUCUGUUUCGUUGCAGCUAAAAUAUAUGUUGCAAAUGGUGUUUCCACUAUUGCAACACUGAACGAGAACUCAUUCACGAGAAGUUACGUUUUAUUUCCCCACAGUUAAAUAAUCUAUCUAACGGGAGAGUUAACACCCCUCGGUUUGUGUUGUGGACCACGAAACCACAACUGGUUAGGGAAACGGAAGGGGUUGGGUUUCUUAUUGCUAAAAAUAAAGAAUUGAUUGUUGUUGAGAUGUUUGUGCUGCGAUAACGAAACGUAAUACAGAGACAUCAUUUUUACUGAAUUAUGGCUCAGUGCAAGAGUAGCUAAAAAACUAAUUCUGCAUAAUUCUAGUUAGUGAUCACAGUUAUUUAACCCCUUAAGGACCAAACUUCUGGAAUAAAAGGGAAUAAUGACAUGUCACACGUCAUGUGUUCGUAAGGGGUUAAUGGUGGAGUUUACUCUGUAUUUAUUCGGUUACUGGGAGUGCUGAGUAUAAGGGUUAAUCUGUAUUCAUUCUGUAACUAGGAGUGCUGAAUGAAAGGGUUAAUCUGUAUCCUCUCUGUUAUUGAGAGUGCAGAGUGAAAAGGUUAAUCUGUAGAGUCUCACUGCUCAAUUCUCUGCCAUUUAAAUCACUUUGUUUCUGCAAUCCUAGUUACACCUCUCUGCAUGUAACUCACAAAGUCUUCCUAAACAAUUCCUGUAUAGAGAGAUCUAAGAUUUACACUUCCUAGCUUGCACAUUCUGUUUAGUUUAUCAUUUCUUAUCUCCUGCUCUGUUAAUAGCCUUCUAGAUCCUACAGAAGCCUUCUUCUCUAUGUGAAUAAAGUUCAAAUUACAGAGCAGGAGAUACAAAGUUAAGUAAGAUUGGAAAUGAAACAAUGUUUCAUGCAGGUUGUGUCAGUCACAGCCAGGGGAGGUGAGGUUAGGGCUGUAUGAACAGAAAUAAAAGUGAUAUAAAUCCUAAAUGGCUAAAAAUUGAGCAGUGACACUACAAAUGCAUGACCUAUAUACCAAAACUGCCUCAUUAAGUGAGAGUUGUUUUGGUGACAAUAGUGUCCCUUUAUUAAAAAAUGCAGCCUUGCUUCCUGUGAGUGAAUAGUUUGUGCCUAUUGAUUAUUUUGAUUAUUUUGAUGUGGGAAUAGAUGGUGUAGACACCACAGCGGCCAUAUUGAUAAAUGAGAAAGAAACAUCUGGUUAAAUUACGAUACUUACUCUCACGUGUUAGAUUUUCCAAAUUGUCCAAACUGCACUUACACUCUGAUUUAAUAUUAAAUAAUAUGGGAUUUCAUGAUUUACUAUAAUGUUGACAUAUUCACCAUAUAAAUCUAUAUUUUGAAUAUAUAGCCAUUUAUCUGUUCAGAUCUGGGAAUUGGACUUUUGUCAAAUUAAUGUUUAUAUACUAAAGUGUUAUUUCUGCCCAACGCAUUUCAUACAAUUCUGGAACGUCUUAUGUUAGAAAUAUUUUGUAGGAGGUUUAAUCUAAUCAAGACGUUCCUCACUGUGAAAUCAAUCCAAUAUCAGUAUCAUGUAACAUUGUUCUUUGAUUUCUGCAGGUGAAUAUAUUUUUCUUAAAUCGAGAAGCAGAACGAGCCAUGGCUAAGGUUACAAGGAAAGAUGGCGGCUCUGUAAAUAUACGCGGAAACAUGCCGGAAUCUUUAUCUGAUGAGACAAUCACAGUGGAUGUUACAGAAAUCCUGCCACCACCUUCACCAAUAUAUUUAUAUUACUUGGAAACCAAUCAUUUACCAUUUGAUGGACAAACCAAUAGAAAAACUUUUAUUCCCUCCAAUAUCAUGUGUAUGGCUUGCUACUUACCUGGAAAUAGGGACAAAGAAUGGUGUAAAGAGAAUUGUUACCACUGAGUAACAUAAAUACAAUAAGCACUUUGUUUUUAAAAGAAACUGUUACAUAAAAAUAUCCUCUAAUAAAAUCCUUCAUUAAAACCUAUUUUCUGUCUAUUGAUGUUAACUCUGCCAGAAGAUAUUGUGCUUCCACAGAAGGUCUAAUAUGGUUUGUGAUGUGCCACGUUCUUUCUGUAGCCUGUGUAGCCAAAAAUCCUGGCGCCUGCCCUGUGUCUACGUUCUCAUGUUACUUCUAUUACAUGUCUUUACUGCUUUUAAAUUUUGUGACUAAGGAUAAUUUAAUCCCCUUUUCAUUUCAAAUUAAGAUUAUGCACAAAUAUAAUUAUUUAAAGGGUUUCACUGAAUUUAUUCAGAAUUAUGUGACGGCAUUUAUCGGCCUGUCCCCAUGAUAUGACUUUAAGAUUAGACCCUGUAUAAUGUGUUAGCUAUAUUCAUUUACCAAUACAUUGUGUGACGCGGUAGAUGACCGCCAAUUUAGAGAGUAAAUUUAGUGUUUAUUCCCUAUAACGUUGCCUCCAGAUUUCUCUGAAUGUUUGCCCUGAACUGAGUUGUCACAGAAUGUGGUUCUUUAUAAAAACUGUAUGUAAUGGAUCACCUGGCACACAGACUUGGUACCUCCGUUGAAGGAUGCUCCUAGCGCUUCCUGAGGGUUUCCAGCACUCAAGCAGACACCAUAACCGUAUGGGGACCAGUGUGUGUAUGGGGGGGCAGUGUGUGUAAAGGGGGGCAGUGUGUGUAUGGGGACACUGUUUGUGGGGCAGUGUGUGUAUGGGGGGCAGUGUAUGGGGACAGUGUUUGUGGGGCAGUGUGUGUAUGGGGACAGUGUUUGUAGGCAGUGUGUGUGUAUGGGGGGCUGUGUUUGGGGGCAGUGUGUGUAUGGGGGGGCAGUGUGUGUAAAGGGGGGCAGUGUGUGUAUGGGGACACUGUUUGUGGGGCAGUGUGUAUAUGGGGGGCAGUGUGUGUAUGGGGACAGUGUUUGUGGGGCAGUGUGUGUAUGGGGACAGUGUUUGUAGGCAGUGUGUGUGUAUGGGGGGCUGUGUGUGUGUAUGGGGGGGGCAGUGUGUGUGUAAUGAGGGGGGAAGGAGGCUUUUUAAUAAUACAUUUUUUUUUAUUUAAUAAAAUAAAUAUUCUAUGUCCCCCCUCCCUUCUUACCUUUAUUUAGGAGGAGGGGGACAUUUCCCUGGUGGGGGAUUCAUUGGUGGUCCAGUGGUGAGAGUGAACUCUAGCCCGCGCCCCCGGGCUAGAGUUCACUCGCGAGAUUUGGAGCGUUGCCGUGGUAACCGCGGCAAAGCUCCAAAUCUCGAGAGAGGAGGACCCGGAGGAGCUGCAGACUGAGCUCCCAGGUCCUCUCUCUCACUCCCUCCCUCCUAAGCUGUAGUGGUUAUUGUGUCUGGAUUAUUUAUUUAAAUAAUCUACAAGUGCACCUCCCGAGAUCAGGCUCUGGAUCCGCCACUGUCUCAGUCUGGCCCUGGUACUUUCCGAACAAUUAAAAACAAGUUCUUCGACUGAGUCACUGGAAAACAAGAACAGAUUAGGAAAUAUGUUGAGACACUGAAUUAAUAAGGGUGUCAAUAAGAUAUUUUUAGCUCAAUUCGAUAUAUAUUGCACAACGAAAGGAGCAUUUUAACCACCAGGACAUACCAGCUGGCUCACAGAGAGAUACUGGCUGCCGCACGUUAGCCAAAGUAAGGAGACAGCAGACAGGUGAGAUUAGAACGUUAGUUUGUAGUUAUCAUUUUAUUGAUUAAUGACUCAAAUAACGAUUAGAUUAACUUUUCAAUUCUUAUAACCUGUAGCCAAUACAAUUCUCACACACACACCCUGACUGUUCCUCAACAUUAAAAAGUAAAAUCCAGGUUAAAUUUGGAUAGAAAUAACACUCCUAUAACACCUGGCAGUAAUGGUCGGGUGAAACUCGCAUUGAUUGUACAUUGUUAUUAUUAUUAUUAUUUAUAAUGUACAUCUUUGCUCAAUUGUUGUCAUAGCAUGAAGGCUUGAGCUAUAAGAAGGAAAGUGGCCAGCUGGCAAAUAUAUAGGGAAUAGUUUACAAAUAGUGUGUACUCUAGACUGAAUUAGGGAGCAGACUAGCCACCUCCAGGAGUGUGCGUAUCGAGUGAUCAUCUUUUUAGCACAAAGACUCUGGCUACACAAAGAAAGCUGGCUGGCUGGCAAAUAGAUAAGGAAUAGCUAACUAUCGGUGUUCAUUUCAGACCUAAUCAGGGAGCAGCUUAGCCACAUCCUGACUGUGUAUAGUUAUUGUGGAUUAUUAUCCAAACAUUUAUAUUUUUAAUAAAUAGGGAAGAGUGGAACUGGAAGUGUCUUAAAGACCAAUCAGGGGCCAGCACAGCCACCCCACACAUUGUUCACUGACAGAAUGGAUUUUUGUUGGUUUAGAUUUUACCACCAAACUUGAUUUCUCUUGAGGUGUAAGGGAGAUCUCUAAUAAUAACUCCAGUUAGUGUAAACGAAGCUAUUGAUGGAAGCUUUUUUAGGACUUGCAAGGAUUCUAUGUUCUGCAGGUUGAAUUUCUUUCUAUAUGCAGUAUGUAUAUAUUGAGAUUGUUGACACUUCCAGGGAAUACAAAUUGUAAUUGUUGCCAUAAGCAGAUUGGACGGAAUUGUUAAUAUCUGUUUCGUUGCAGCUAAAAUAUAUGUUGCAAAUGGUGUUUCCACUAUUGCAACACUGAACGAGAACUCAUUCACGAGAAGUUACGUUUUAUUUCCCCACAGUUAAAUAAUCUAUCUAACGGGAGAGUUAACACCCCUCGGUUUGUGUUGUGGACCACGAAACCACAACUGGUUAGGGAAACGGAAGGGGUUGGGUUUCUUAUUGCUAAAAAUAAAGAAUUGAUUGUUGUUGAGAUGUUUGUGCUGCGAUAACGAAACGUAAUACAGAGACAUCAUUUUUACUGAAUUAUGGCUCAGUGCAAGAGUAGCUAAAAAACUAAUUCUGCAUAAUUCUAGUUAGUGAUCACAGUUAUUUAACCCCUUAAGGACCAAACUUCUGGAAUAAAAGGGAAUAAUGACAUGUCACACGUCAUGUGUUCGUAAGGGGUUAAUGGUGGAGUUUACUCUGUAUUUAUUCGGUUACUGGGAGUGCUGAGUAUAAGGGUUAAUCUGUAUUCAUUCUGUAACUAGGAGUGCUGAAUGAAAGGGUUAAUCUGUAUCCUCUCUGUUAUUGAGAGCGCAGAGUGAAAAGGUUAAUCUGUAGAGUCUCACUGCUCAAUUCUCUGCCAUUUAAAUCACUUUGUUUCUGCAAUCCUAGUUACACCUCUCUGCAUGUAACUCACAAAGUCUUCCUAAACAAUUCCUGUAUAGAGAGAUCUAAGAUUUACACUUCCUAGCUUGCACAUUCUGUUUAGUUUAUCAUUUCUUAUCUCCUGCUCUGUUAAUAGCCUUCUAGAUCCUACAGAAGCCUUCUUCUCUAUGUGAAUAAAGUUCAAAUUACAGAGCAGGAGAUACAAAGUUAAGUAAGAUUGGAAAUGAAACAAUGUUUCAUGCAGGUUGUGUCAGUCACAGCCAGGGGAGGUGAGGUUAGGGCUGUAUGAACAGAAAUAAAAGUGAUAUAAAUCCUAAAUGGCUAAAAAUUGAGCAGUGACACUACAAAUGCAUGACCUAUAUACCAAAACUGCCUCAUUAAGUGAGAGUUGUUUUGGUGACAAUAGUGUCCCUUUAUUAAAAAAUGCAGCCUUGCUUCCUGUGAGUGAAUAGUUUGUGCCUAUUGAUUAUUUUGAUUAUUUUGAUGUGGGAAUAGAUGGUGUAGACACCACAGCGGCCAUAUUGAUAAAUGAGAAAGAAACAUCUGGUUAAAUUACGAUACUUACUCUCACGUGUUAGAUUUUCCAAAUUGUCCAAACUGCACUUACACUCUGAUUUAAUAUUAAAUAAUAUGGGAUUUCAUGAUUUACUAUAAUGUUGACAUAUUCACCAUAUAAAUCUAUAUUUUGAAUAUAUAGCCAUUUAUCUGUUCAGAUCUGGGAAUUGGACUUUUGUCAAAUUAAUGUUUAUAUACUAAAGUGUUAUUUCUGCCCAACGCAUUUCAUACAAUUCUGGAACGUCUUAUGUUAGAAAUAUUUUGUAGGAGGUUUAAUCUAAUCAAGACGUUCCUCACUGUGAAAUCAAUCCAAUAUCAGUAUCAUGUAACAUUGUUCUUUGAUUUCUGCAGGUGAAUAUAUUUUUCUUAAAUCGAGAAGCAGAACGAGCCAUGGCUAAGGUUACAAGGAAAGAUGGCGGCUCUGUAAAUAUACGCGGAAACAUGCCGGAAUCUUUAUCUGAUGAGACAAUCACAGUGGAUGUUACAGAAAUCCUGCCACCACCUUCACCAAUAUAUUUAUAUUACUUGGAAACCAAUCAUUUACCAUUUGAUGGACAAACCAAUAGAAAAACUUUUAUUCCCUCCAAUAUCAUGUGUAUGGCUUGCUACUUACCUGGAAAUGGGGACAAAGAAUGGUGUAAAGAGAAUUGUUACCACUGAGUAACAUAAAUACAAUAAGCACUUUGUUUUUAAAAGAAACUGUUAUGUAAAAAUAUCCUCUAAUAAAAUCCUUCAUUAAAACCUAUUUUCUGUCUAUUGAUGUUAACUCUGCCAGAAGAUAUUCUGCUUCCACAGAAGGUCUAAUAUGGUUUGUGAUGUGCCACGUUCUUUCUGUAGCCUGUGUAGCCAAAAAUCCUCGCGCCUGCCCUGUGUCUACGUUCUCAUGUUACUUCUAUUACAUGUCUUUACUGCUUUUACAUUUUGGGAUUAAGGAUAAUUUAAUCCCCUUUUCAUUUCAAAUUAAGAUUAUGCACAAAUAUAAUUAUUUAAAGGGUUUCACUGAAUUUAUUCAGAAUUAUGUGACGGCAUUUAUCGGCCUGUCCCCAUGAUAUGACUUUAAGAUUAGACCCUGUAUAAUGUGUUAGCUAUAUUCAUUUACCAAUACAUUGUGUGACGCGGUAGAUGACCGCCAAUUCAGAGAGUAAAUUUACUGUUUAUUCCCUAUAACGUUGCCUCCAGAUUGCUCUGAAUGUUUGCCCUGAACUGAGUUGUCACAGAAUGUGGUUCUUUAUAAAAACUGUAUGUAACGGAUCACCUGGCACACAGACUGGGUACCUCCGUUGAAGGAUGCUCCUAGCGCUUCCUGAGGGUUUCCAGCAUUCAAGCAGACACCAUAACCGUAUGGGGAGCAGUGUGUGUAUGGGGGGGCAGUGUGUGUAAAGGGGGGCAGUGUGUGUAUGGGGACACUGUUUGUGGGGCAGUGUGUGUAUGGGGGGCAGUGUGUGUAUGGGGACAGUGUUUGUGGGGCAGUGUGUGUAUGGGGACAGUGUUUGUAGGCAGUGUGUGUGUAUGGGGGGCUGUGUUUGGGGGCAGUGUGUGUAUGGGGGGGCAGUGUGUGUAAAGGGGGGCAGUGUGUGUAUGGGGACACUGUUUGUGGGGCAGUGUGUAUAUGGGGGGCAGUGUGUGUAUGGGGACAGUGUUUGUGGGGCAGUGUGUGUAUGGGGACAGUGUUUGUAGGCAGUGUGUGUGUAUGGGGGGCUGUGUGUGUGUAUGGGGGGGCAGUGUGUGUGUAAUGAGGGGGGAAGGAGGCUUUUUAAUAAUACAUUUUUUUUUAUUUAAUAAAAUAAAUAUUCUAUGUCCCCCCUCCCUUCUUACCUUUAUUUAGGAGGAGGGGGACAUUUCCCUGGUGGGGGAUUCAUUGGUGGUCCAGUGGUGAGAGUGAACUCUAGCCCGCGCCCCCGGGCUAGAGUUCACUCGCGAGAUUUGGAGCGUUGCCAUGGUAACCGCGGCAAAGCUCCAAAUCUCGAGAGAGGAGGACCCGGAGGAGCUGCAGACUGAGCUCCCAGGUCCUCUCUCUCACUCCCUCCCUCCUAAGCUGUAGUGGUUAUUGUGUCUGGAUUAUUUAUUUAAAUAAUCUACAAGUGCACCUCCCGAGAUCAGGCUCUGGAUCCGCCACUGUCUCAGUCUGGCCCUGGUACUUUCCGAACAAUUAAAAACAAGUUCUUCGACUGAGUCACUGGAAAACAAGAACAGAUUAGGAAAUAUUUUGAGACACUGUAUUAAUAAGGGUGUCAAUAAGAUAUUUUUAGCUCAAUUCGAUAUAUAUUGCACAACGAAAGGAGCAUUUUAACCACCAGGACAUACCAGCUGGCUCACAGAGAGAUACUGGCUGCCGCACGUUAGCCAAAGUAAGGAGACAGCAGACAGGUGAGAUUAGAACGUUAGUUUGUAUUUAUCAUUUUAUUGAUUAAUGACUCAAAUAACGAUUAGAUUAACUUUUCAAUUCUUAUAACCUGUAGCCAAUACAAUUCUCACACACACACCCUGACUGUUCCUCAACAUUAAAAAGUAAAAUCCAGGUUAAAUUUGGAUAGAAAUAACACUCCUAUAACACCUGGCAGUAAUGGUCGGGUGAAACUCGCAUUGAUUGUACAUUGUUAUUAUUAUUAUUAUUUAUAAUGUACAUCUUUGCUCAAUUGUUGUCAUAGCAUGAAGGCUUGAGCUAUAAGAAGGAAAGUGGCCAGCUGGCAAAUAUAUAGGGAAUAGUUUACAAAUAGUGUGUACUCUAGACUGAAUUAGGGAGCAGACUAGCCACCUCCAGGAGUGUGCGUAUCGAGUGAUCAUCUUUUUAGCACAAAGACUCUGGCUACACAAAGAAAGCUGGCUGGCUGGCAAAUAGAUAAGGAAUAGCUAACUAUCGGUGUUCAUUUCAGACCUAAUCAGGGAGCAGCUUAGCCACAUCCUGACUGUGUAUAGUUAUUGUGGAUUAUUAUCCAAACAUUUAUAUUUUUAAUAAAUAGGGAAGAGUGGAACUGGAAGUGUCUUAAAGACCAAUCAGGGGCCAGCACAGCCACCCCACACAUUGUUCACUGACAGAAUGGAUUUUUGUUGGUUUAGAUUUUACCACCAAACUUGAUUUCUCUUGAGGUGUAAGGGAGAUCUCUAAUAAUAACUCCAGUUAGUGUAAACGAAGCUAUUGAUGGAAGCUUUUUUAGGACUUGCAAGGAUUCUAUGUUCUGCAGGUUGAAUUUCUUUCUAUAUGCAGUAUGUAUAUAUUGAGAUUGUUGACACUUCCAGGGAAUACAAAUUGUAAUUGUUGCCAUAAGCAGAUUGGACGGAAUUGUUAAUAUCUGUUUCGUUGCAGCUAAAAUAUAUGUUGCAAAUGGUGUUUCCACUAUUGCAACACUGAACGAGAACUCAUUCACGAGAAGUUACGUUUUAUUUCCCCACAGUUAAAUAAUCUAUCUAACGGGAGAGUUAACACCCCUCGGUUUGUGUUGUGGACCACGAAACCACAACUGGUUAGGGAAACGGAAGGGGUUGGGUUUCUUAUUGCUAAAAAUAAAGAAUUGAUUGUUGUUGAGAUGUUUGUGCUGCGAUAACGAAACGUAAUACAGAGACAUCAUUUUUACUGAAUUAUGGCUCAGUGCAAGAGUAGCUAAAAAACUAAUUCUGCAUAAUUCUAGUUAGUGAUCACAGUUAUUUAACCCCUUAAGGACCAAACUUCUGGAAUAAAAGGGAAUAAUGACAUGUCACACGUCAUGUGUUCGUAAGGGGUUAAUGGUGGAGUUUACUCUGUAUUUAUUCGGUUACUGGGAGUGCUGAGUAUAAGGGUUAAUCUGUAUUCAUUCUGUAACUAGGAGUGCUGAAUGAAAGGGUUAAUCUGUAUCCUCUCUGUUAUUGAGAGCGCAGAGUGAAAAGGUUAAUCUGUAGAGUCUCACUGCUCAAUUCUCUGCCAUUUAAAUCACUUUGUUUCUGCAAUCCUAGUUACACCUCUCUGCAUGUAACUCACAAAGUCUUCCUAAACAAUUCCUGUAUAGAGAGAUCUAAGAUUUACACUUCCUAGCUUGCACAUUCUGUUUAGUUUAUCAUUUCUUAUCUCCUGCUCUGUUAAUAGCCUUCUAGAUCCUACAGAAGCCUUCUUCUCUAUGUGAAUAAAGUUCAAAUUACAGAGCAGGAGAUACAAAGUUAAGUAAGAUUGGAAAUGAAACAAUGUUUCAUGCAGGUUGUGUCAGUCACAGCCAGGGGAGGUGAGGUUAGGGCUGUAUGAACAGAAAUAAAAGUGAUAUAAAUCCUAAAUGGCUAAAAAUUGAGCAGUGACACUACAAAUGCAUGACCUAUAUACCAAAACUGCCUCAUUAAGUGAGAGUUGUUUUGGUGACAAUAGUGUCCCUUUAUUAAAAAAUGCAGCCUUGCUUCCUGUGAGUGAAUAGUUUGUGCCUAUUGAUUAUUUUGAUUAUUUUGAUGUGGGAAUAGAUGGUGUAGACACCACAGCGGCCAUAUUGAUAAAUGAGAAAGAAACAUCUGGUUAAAUUACGAUACUUACUCUCACGUGUUAGAUUUUCCAAAUUGUCCAAACUGCACUUACACUCUGAUUUAAUAUUAAAUAAUAUGGGAUUUCAUGAUUUACUAUAAUGUUGACAUAUUCACCAUAUAAAUCUAUAUUUUGAAUAUAUAGCCAUUUAUCUGUUCAGAUCUGGGAAUUGGACUUUUGUCAAAUUAAUGUUUAUAUACUAAAGUGUUAUUUCUGCCCAACGCAUUUCAUACAAUUCUGGAACGUCUUAUGUUAGAAAUAUUUUGUAGGAGGUUUAAUCUAAUCAAGACGUUCCUCACUGUGAAAUCAAUCCAAUAUCAGUAUCAUGUAACAUUGUUCUUUGAUUUCUGCAGGUGAAUAUAUUUUUCUUAAAUCGAGAAGCAGAACGAGCCAUGGCUAAGGUUACAAGGAAAGAUGGCGGCUCUGUAAAUAUACGCGGAAACAUGCCGGAAUCUUUAUCUGAUGAGACAAUCACAGUGGAUGUUACAGAAAUCCUGCCACCACCUUCACCAAUAUAUUUAUAUUACUUGGAAACCAAUCAUUUACCAUUUGAUGGACAAACCAAUAGAAAAACUUUUAUUCCCUCCAAUAUCAUGUGUAUGGCUUGCUACUUACCUGGAAAUAGGGACAAAGAAUGGUGUAAAGAGAAUUGUUACCACUGAGUAACAUAAAUACAAUAAGCACUUUGUUUUUAAAAGAAACUGUUACAUAAAAAUAUCCUCUAAUAAAAUCCUUCAUUAAAACCUAUUUUCUGUCUAUUGAUGUUAACUCUGCCAGAAGAUAUUGUGCUUCCACAGAAGGUCUAAUAUGGUUUGUGAUGUGCCACGUUCUUUCUGUAGCCUGUGUAGCCAAAAAUCCUGGCGCCUGCCCUGUGUCUACGUUCUCAUGUUACUUCUAUUACAUGUCUUUACUGCUUUUAAAUUUUGUGACUAAGGAUAAUUUAAUCCCCUUUUCAUUUCAAAUUAAGAUUAUGCACAAAUAUAAUUAUUUAAAGGGUUUCACUGAAUUUAUUCAGAAUUAUGUGACGGCAUUUAUCGGCCUGUCCCCAUGAUAUGACUUUAAGAUUAGACCCUGUAUAAUGUGUUAGCUAUAUUCAUUUACCAAUACAUUGUGUGACGCGGUAGAUGACCGCCAAUUCAGAGAGUAAAUUUACUGUUUAUUCCCUAUAACGUUGCCUCCAGAUUUCUCUGAAUGUUUGCCCUGAACUGAGUUGUCACAGAAUGUGGUUCUUUAUAAAAACUGUAUGUAAUGGAUCACCUGGCACACAGACUUGGUACCUCCGUUGAAGGAUGGUCCUAGCGCUUCCUGAGGGUUUCCAGCACUCAAGCAGACACCAUAACCGUAUGGGGAGCAGUGUGUGUAUGGGGGGGCAGUGUGUGUAAAGGGGGGCAGUGUGUGUAUGGGGACACUGUUUGUGGGGCAGUGUGUGUAUGGGGGGCAGUGUGUGUAUGGGGACAGUGUUUGUGGGGCAGUGUGUGUAUGGGGACAGUGUUUGUAGGCAGUGUGUGUGUAUGGGGGGCUGUGUUUGGGGGCAGUGUGUGUAUGGGGGGGCAGUGUGUGUAAAGGGGGGCAGUGUGUGUAUGGGGACACUGUUUGUGGGGCAGUGUGUAUAUGGGGGGCAGUGUGUGUAUGGGGACAGUGUUUGUGGGGCAGUGUGUGUAUGGGGACAGUGUUUGUAGGCAGUGUGUGUGUAUGGGGGGCUGUGUGUGUGUAUGGGGGGGGCAGUGUGUGUGUAAUGAGGGGGGAAGGAGGCUUUUUAAUAAUACAUUUUUUUUUAUUUAAUAAAAUAAAUAUUCUAUGUCCCCCCUCCCUUCUUACCUUUAUUUAGGAGGAGGGGGACAUUUCCCUGGUGGGGGAUUCAUUGGUGGUCCAGUGGUGAGAGUGAACUCUAGCCCGCGCCCCCGGGCUAGAGUUCACUCGCGAGAUUUGGAGCGUUGCCGUGGUAACCGCGGCAAAGCUCCAAAUCUCGAGAGAGGAGGACCCGGAGGAGCUGCAGAUUGAGCUCCCAGGUCCUCUCUCUCACUCCCUCCCUCCUAAACUGUAGUGGUUAUUGUGUCUGGAUUAUUUAUUUAAAUAAUCUACAAGUGCCCCUCCCGAGAUCAGGCUCUGGAUCCGCCACUGUCUCAGUCUGGCCCUGGUACUUUCCGAACAAUUAAAAACAAGUUCUUCGACUGAGUCACUGGAAAACAAGAACAGAUUAGGAAAUAUUUUGAGACACUGAAUUAAUAAGGGUGUCAAUAAGAUAUUUUUAGCUCAAUUCGAUAUAUAUUGCACAACGAAAGGAGCAUUUUAACCACCAGGACAUACCAGCUGGCUCACAGAGAGAUACUGGCUGCCGCACGUUAGCCAAAGUAAGGAGACAGCAGACAGGUGAGAUUAGAACGUUAGUUUGUAGUUAUCAUUUUAUUGAUUAAUGACUCAAAUAACGAUUAGAUUAACUUUUCAAUUCUUAUAACCUGUAGCCAAUACAAUUCUCACACACACACCCUGACUGUUCCUCAACAUUAAAAAGUAAAAUCCAGGUUAAAUUUGGAUAGAAAUAACACUCCUAUAACACCUGGCAGUAAUGGUCGGGUGAAACUCGCAUUGAUUGUACAUUGUUAUUAUUAUUAUUAUUUAUAAUGUACAUCUUUGCUCAAUUGUUGUCAUAGCAUGAAGGCUUGAGCUAUAAGAAGGAAAGUGGCCAGCUGGCAAAUAUAUAGGGAAUAGUUUACAAAUAGUGUGUACUCUAGACUGAAUUAGGGAGCAGACUAGCCACCUCCAGGAGUGUGCGUAUCGAGUGAUCAUCUUUUUAGCACAAAGACUCUGGCUACACAAAGAAAGCUGGCUGGCUGGCAAAUAGAUAAGGAAUAGCUAACUAUCGGUGUUCAUUUCAGACCUAAUCAGGGAGCAGCUUAGCCACAUCCUGACUGUGUAUAGUUAUUGUGGAUUAUUAUCCAAACAUUUAUAUUUUUAAUAAAUAGGGAAGAGUGGAACUGGAAGUGUCUUAAAGACCAAUCAGGGGCCAGCACAGCCACCCCACACAUUGUUCACUGACAGAAUGGAUUUUUGUUGGUUUAGAUUUUACCACCAAACUUGAUUUCUCUUGAGGUGUAAGGGAGAUCUCUAAUAAUAACUCCAGUUAGUGUAAACGAAGCUAUUGAUGGAAGCUUUUUUAGGACUUGCAAGGAUUCUAUGUUCUGCAGGUUGAAUUUCUUUCUAUAUGCAGUAUGUAUAUAUUGAGAUUGUUGACACUUCCAGGGAAUACAAAUUGUAAUUGUUGCCAUAAGCAGAUUGGACGGAAUUGUUAAUAUCUGUUUCGUUGCAGCUAAAAUAUAUGUUGCAAAUGGUGUUUCCACUAUUGCAACACUGAACGAGAACUCAUUCACGAGAAGUUACGUUUUAUUUCCCCACAGUUAAAUAAUCUAUCUAACGGGAGAGUUAACACCCCUCGGUUUGUGUUGUGGACCACGAAACCACAACUGGUUAGGGAAACGGAAGGGGUUGGGUUUCUUAUUGCUAAAAAUAAAGAAUUGAUUGUUGUUGAGAUGUUUGUGCUGCGAUAACGAAACGUAAUACAGAGACAUCAUUUUUACUGAAUUAUGGCUCAGUGCAAGAGUAGCUAAAAAACUAAUUCUGCAUAAUUCUAGUUAGUGAUCACAGUUAUUUAACCCCUUAAGGACCAAACUUCUGGAAUAAAAGGGAAUAAUGACAUGUCACACGUCAUGUGUUCGUAAGGGGUUAAUGGUGGAGUUUACUCUGUAUUUAUUCGGUUACUGGGAGUGCUGAGUAUAAGGGUUAAUCUGUAUUCAUUCUGUAACUAGGAGUGCUGAAUGAAAGGGUUAAUCUGUAUCCUCUCUGUUAUUGAGAGCGCAGAGUGAAAAGGUUAAUCUGUAGAGUCUCACUGCUCAAUUCUCUGCCAUUUAAAUCACUUUGUUUCUGCAAUCCUAGUUACACCUCUCUGCAUGUAACUCACAAAGUCUUCCUAAACAAUUCCUGUAUAGAGAGAUCUAAGAUUUACACUUCCUAGCUUGCACAUUCUGUUUAGUUUAUCAUUUCUUAUCUCCUGCUCUGUUAAUAGCCUUCUAGAUCCUACAGAAGCCUUCUUCUCUAUGUGAAUAAAGUUCAAAUUACAGAGCAGGAGAUACAAAGUUAAGUAAGAUUGGAAAUGAAACAAUGUUUCAUGCAGGUUGUGUCAGUCACAGCCAGGGGAGGUGAGGUUAGGGCUGUAUGAACAGAAAUAAAAGUGAUAUAAAUCCUAAAUGGCUAAAAAUUGAGCAGUGACACUACAAAUGCAUGACCUAUAUACCAAAACUGCCUCAUUAAGUGAGAGUUGUUUUGGUGACAAUAGUGUCCCUUUAUUAAAAAAUGCAGCCUUGCUUCCUGUGAGUGAAUAGUUUGUGCCUAUUGAUUAUUUUGAUUAUUUUGAUGUGGGAAUAGAUGGUGUAGACACCACAGCGGCCAUAUUGAUAAAUGAGAAAGAAACAUCUGGUUAAAUUACGAUACUUACUCUCACGUGUUAGAUUUUCCAAAUUGUCCAAACUGCACUUACACUCUGAUUUAAUAUUAAAUAAUAUGGGAUUUCAUGAUUUACUAUAAUGUUGACAUAUUCACCAUAUAAAUCUAUAUUUUGAAUAUAUAGCCAUUUAUCUGUUCAGAUCUGGGAAUUGGACUUUUGUCAAAUUAAUGUUUAUAUACUAAAGUGUUAUUUCUGCCCAACGCAUUUCAUACAAUUCUGGAACGUCUUAUGUUAGAAAUAUUUUGUAGGAGGUUUAAUCUAAUCAAGACGUUCCUCACUGUGAAAUCAAUCCAAUAUCAGUAUCAUGUAACAUUGUUCUUUGAUUUCUGCAGGUGAAUAUAUUUUUCUUAAAUCGAGAAGCAGAACGAGCCAUGGCUAAGGUUACAAGGAAAGAUGGCGGCUCUGUAAAUAUACGCGGAAACAUGCCGGAAUCUUUAUCUGAUGAGACAAUCACAGUGGAUGUUACAGAAAUCCUGCCACCACCUUCACCAAUAUAUUUAUAUUACUUGGAAACCAAUCAUUUACCAUUUGAUGGACAAACCAAUAGAAAAACUUUUAUUCCCUCCAAUAUCAUGUGUAUGGCUUGCUACUUACCUGGAAAUAGGGACAAAGAAUGGUGUAAAGAGAAUUGUUACCACUGAGUAACAUAAAUACAAUAAGCACUUUGUUUUUAAAAGAAACUGUUACAUAAAAAUAUCCUCUAAUAAAAUCCUUCAUUAAAACCUA